UACGGAAGGCAGCAGUGGGGAAUAUUGCACAAUGGGCGCAAGCCUGAUGCAGCCAUGCCGCGUGUAUGAAGAAGGCCUUCGGGUUGUAAAGUACUUUCAGCGGGGAGGAAGGCGAUGUGGUUAAUAACCGCGUCGAUUGACGUUACCCGCAGAAGAAGCACCGGCUAACUCCGUGCCAGCAGCCGCGGUAAUACGGAGGGUGCAAGCGUUAAUCGGAAUUACUGGGCGUAAAGCGCACGCAGGCGGUCUGUUAAGUCAGAUGUGAAAUCCCCGGGCUUAACCUGGGAACUGCAUUUUGAAACUGGCAGGCUUGAGUCUCGUAGAGGGGGUGAAUUCCAGGUGUAGCGGUGAAAUGCGUAGAGAUCUGGAGGAAUACCGGUGGCGAAGGCGGCCCCUGGGACGAGACUGACGCUCAGGUGCGAAAGCGUGGGGAGCAAACGAGGGAUUAGGAUACC
rnacentral:rRNA from 1 species